rnacentral:misc_RNA from 1 species
CAGCCGCGUAAUUCCAGCUCCAAUAGCGUAUAUUAAAGUUGUUGCAGUUAAAAAGCUCGUAGUUGAAUUUCGGGAUCAAUAUGUUGGUCGUGCCUUUGGUACGUACUAGCUUAUUGAUUUCUCCCUUCUGACGAACCAUGAUGUCAUUAAUUUGGUGUCAUGGGGAAUCAGGACUGUUACUUUGAAAAAAUUAGAGUGUUUAAAGCAGGCUUACGCUUGAAUAUAUUAGCAUGGCAUAAUGAAAUAGGACGUUUUGAUUCUAUUUUGUUGGUUUCUAGGAUCGACGUAAUGAUUAAUAGGGAUAGUUGGGGGCAUUAGUAUUCAAUUGUCAGAGGUGAAAUUCUUGGAUUUAUUGAAGACUAACUACUGCGAAAGCAUUUGCCAAGGAUGUUUUCAUUAAUCAAGAACGAAAGUUAGGGGAUCGAAGACGAUCAGAUACCGUCGUAGUCUUAACCAUAAACUAUGCCGACUAGGGAUCGGAUGAUGUUAAUUUUUUAAUGACUCAUUCGGCGCCUUACG